rnacentral:rRNA from 1 species
AAAUUGAAGAGUUUGAUCAUGGCUCAGAUUGAACGCUGGCGGCAGGCCUAACACAUGCAAGUCGAGCGGUAGCACAGGAGAGCUUGCUCUCUGGGUGACGAGCGGCGGACGGGUGAGUAAUGUCUGGGAAACUGCCUGAUGGAGGGGGAUAACUACUGGAAACGGUAGCUAAUACCGCAUAACCUCGCAAGAGCAAAGAGGGGGACCUUCGGGCCUCUCGCCAUCAGAUGUGCCCAGAUGGGAUUAGCUAGUAGGUGAGGUAAUGGCUCACCUAGGCGACGAUCCCUAGCUGGUCUGAGAGGAUGACCAGCCACACUGGAACUGAGACACGGUCCAGACUCCUACGGGAGGCAGCAGUGGGGAAUAUUGCACAAUGGGCGCAAGCCUGAUGCAGCCAUGCCGCGUGUGUGAAGAAGGCCUUCGGGUUGUAAAGCACUUUCAGCGGGGAGGAAGGCGAUAAGGUUAAUAACCUUGUCGAUUGACGUUACCCGCAGAAGAAGCACCGGCUAACUCCGUGCCAGCAGCCGCGGUAAUACGGAGGGUGCAAGCGUUAAUCGGAAUGACUGGGCGUAAAGCGCACGCAGGCGGUCUGUUAAGUUGGAUGUGAAAUCCCCGGGCUUAACCUGGGAACUGCAUUCAAAACUGACAGGCUAGAGUCUUGUAGAGGGGGGUAGAAUUCCAGGUGUAGCGGUGAAAUGCGUAGAGAUCUGGAGGAAUACCGGUGGCGAAGGCGGCCCCCUGGACAAAGACUGACGCUCAGGUGCGAAAGCGUGGGGAGCAAACAGGAUUAGAUACCCUGGUAGUCCACGCUGUAAACGAUGUCGACUUGGAGGUUGUGCCCUUGAGGCGUGGCUUCCGGAGCUAACGCGUUAAGUCGACCGCCUGGGGAGUACGGCCGCAAGGUUAAAACUCAAAUGAAUUGACGGGGGCCCGCACAAGCGGUGGAGCAUGUGGUUUAAUUCGAUGCAACGCGAAGAACCUUACCUACUCUUGACAUCCAGAGAAUUUGCUAGAGAUAGCUUAGUGCCUUCGGGAACUCUGAGACAGGUGCUGCAUGGCUGUCGUCAGCUCGUGUUGUGAAAUGUUGGGUUAAGUCCCGCAACGAGCGCAACCCUUAUCCUUUGUUGCCAGCGAUUCGGUCGGGAACUCAAAGGAGACUGCCGGUGAUAAACCGGAGGAAGGUGGGGAUGACGUCAAGUCAUCAUGGCCCUUACGAGUAGGGCUACACACGUGCUACAAUGGCGUAUACAAAGAGAAGCGACCUCGCGAGAGUAAGCGGACCUCAUAAAGUACGUCGUAGUCCGGAUUGGAGUCUGCAACUCGACUCCAUGAAGUCGGAAUCGCUAGUAAUCGUAGAUCAGAAUGCUACGGUGAAUACGUUCCCGGGCCUUGUACACACCGCCCGUCACACCAUGGGAGUGGGUUGCAAAAGAAGUAGGUAGCUUAACCUUCGGGAGGGCGCUUACCACUUUGUGAUUCAUGACUGGGGUGAAGUCGUAACAAGGUAACCGUAGGGGAACCUGCGGUUGGAUCACCUCCUUACCAAAAAGA